rnacentral:rRNA from 1 species
GCCAGCAGCCGCGGUAAUACGGAGGAUCCGAGCGUUAUCCGGAAUUAUUGGGUUUAAAGGGUGCGUAGGCGGCCAUUUAAGUCAGCGGUGAAAUUUUGCAGCUUAACUGUAACAGUGCCGUUGAUACUGUUUGGCUAGGAUUUGGUUGUAGUGUGCGGAAUGUGUGGUGUAGCGGUGAAAUGCUUAGAUAUCACACAGAACACCGAUUGCGAAGGCAGCACACUAAGUCAUUAUUGACGCUGAGGCACGAAAGUGUGGGGAUCAAACAGGAUUAGAUACCCUGGUAGUCCACACUGUAAACGAUGAUAACUCGCUGUCGGCGAUACACAGUCGGUGGCCAAGCGAAAGCAUUAAGUUAUCCACCUGGGGAGUACGACCGCAAGGUUGAAACUCAAAGGAAUUGACGGGGGCCCGCACAAGCGGAGGAACAUGUGGUUUAAUUCGAUGAUACGCGAGGAACCUUACCCGGGCUCGAACGGUGCAUGAAUAUACGAGAGAUUGUAUAGUCCUUCGGGACAUGUAUCGAGGUGCUGCAUGGUUGUCGUCAGCUCGUGCCGUGAGGUGUCGGCUUAAGUGCCAUAACGAGCGCAACCCUCGUCAUUAGUUGCCAUCAGGUCAAGCUGGGGACUUUAAUGAGACUGCCACCGUAAGGUGUGAGGAAGGGGGGGAGGACGUCAAAUCAGCACGGCCCUUAUGUCCGGGGCGACACACGUGUUACAAUGGGAGGUACAGAGGGCAGCUAUCCGGUGACGGAAUGCUAAUCUCCAAAACCUUUCUCAGUUCGGAUUGGAGUCUGCAACUCGACUCCAUGAAGGUGGAUUCGCUAGUAAUCGCGCAUCAGCCAUGGCGCGGUGAAUACGUUCCCGGGCCUUGCACACACCGCCCGUCAA